AGUGAACGCUGGCGGUAGGCCUAACACAUGCAAGUCGAACGGCAGCACAGUAAGAGCUUGCUCUUACGGGUGGCGAGUGGCGGACGGGUGAGGAAUACAUCGGAAUCUACUUUUUCGUGGGGGAUAACGUAGGGAAACUUACGCUAAUACCGCAUACGACCUACGGGUGAAAGCAGGGGAUCUUCGGACCUUGCGCGAUUGAAUGAGCCGAUGUCGGAUUAGCUAGUUGGCGGGGUAAAGGCCCACCAAGGCGACGAUCCGUAGCUGGUCUGAGAGGAUGAUCAGCCACACUGGAACUGAGACACGGUCCAGACUCCUAUGGGAGGCAGCAGUGGGGAAUAUUCGACAAUGGGCGCGAGCCUGAUCCAGCCAUACCGCGGGGGUGAAGAAGGCCUUCGGGUUGUAAAGCCCUUUUGUUAGGAAAGAAAAGCAGCAGGUUAAUACCCCGCUGUUCUGACGGUACCAAAAGAAUAAGCACCGGCUAACUUCAUG
rnacentral:rRNA from 1 species